CAAGAGCGUAUGUAAAAGUUGUUGCAGUUAAAAAGCUCGUAGUUGAACCUUGGGUUUGGUUGGCCGGUCCGCUUUUUUGCGAGUACUGGAUUCAACCGAGCCUUUCCUUCUGGCUAACCAGUCGUUUCGGCGGCUGGCGAACCAGGAUUUUUACUUUGAGAAAAUUAGAUUGUUCAAAGCAGGCAUUAGCUUGAAUAUAUUAGCAUGGAAUAAUAGAAUAGGACGUUAUGGUUCUAUUUUGUUGGUUUCUAGGACCAUCGUAAUGAUUAAUAGGGACGGUCGGGGGCAUCAGUAUUCAGUUGUCAGAGGUGAAAUUCUUGGAUUUACUGAAGACUAACUACUGCGAAAGCAUUUGCCAAGGACGUUUUCAUUAA
rnacentral:rRNA from 1 species